rnacentral:rRNA from 1 species
GACGAACGCUGGCGGCGUGCUUAACACAUGCAAGUCGAACGGAAAGGCCCUGCUUUUGUGGGGUGCUCGAGUGGCGAACGGGUGUGUAACACGCGAGUAACCUGCCCUUGACUUUGGGAUAAAUUCAGGAAACUGGGGAUAAUACCGGAUAGGAGCUCCUGAUGCAUGGUGGGGGUUGGAAAGAUGCGGCGGUUUGGGAUUGACUCGCGGCUUAUCAGCCUGUUGGGCGGGUAGUGGCUUACCAGGGCUUUGACGGGUAGCCGGCAUGAGAGGGUGACCGGCCACAUUGGGACUAAGAUACGGCCCAGAAUCCUAUGGGAGGCAGCAGUGGGGAGUAUUGCACAAUGGGCGGAAGCCUGAUGCAGCAACGCCGCGUGCGGGAUGACGGCCUUCGGGUUGUAAACCGCUUUGGACUGUGACGAAGCGUGAGUGACGGUAAUGGGUAAAGAAGCACCGGCUAACUACGUG